CAACUACUCCCAAUGUCCCAAAUUUCUUGUCUUAGAUUUGUCUAGAUACGGAUGUAUCUAAUACUAAAAUGUGACUUGAUACAUCCUUAUCUAGACAAAUCUAAGACAAGAAUUUUGGGACGGAGGGAGUACUUU
rfam:Triticum aestivum genome assembly, contig: Triticum_aestivum_CS42_TGACv1_scaffold_475851_6AL